AUUUUUUGGUCAGGGAUGAGCUCGCGGCCUAUCAGCUUGUUGGUGAGGUAAUGGCUCACCAAGGCGUCGACGGGUAGCCGGCCUGAGAGGGUGACCGGCCACACUGGGACUGAGACACGGCCCAGACUCCUACGGGAGGCAGCAGUGGGGAAUAUUGCACAAUGGGCGCAAGCCUGAUGCAGCAACGCCGCGUGAGGGAUGACGGCCUUCGGGUUGUAAACCUCUUUUAGCAGGGAAGAAGCGAAAGUGACGGUACCUGCAGAAAAAGCGCCGGCUAACUACGUGCCAGCAGCCGCGGUAAUACGUAGGGCGCAAGCGUUAUCCGGAAUUAUUGGGCGUAAAGAGCUCGUAGGCGGUUUGUCGCGUCUGCUGUGAAAUCCCGAGGCUCAACCUCGGGUCUGCAGUGGGUACGGGCAGACUAGAGUGCGGUAGGGGAGAUUGGAAUUCCUGGUGUAGCGGUGGAAUGCGCAGAUAUCAGGAGGAACACCGAUGGCGAAGGCAGAUCUCUGGGCCGUAACUGACGCUGAGGAGCGAAAGGGUGGGGAGCAAACAGGCUUAGAUACCCUGGUAGUCCACCCCGUAAACGUUGGGAACUAGUUGUGGGGUCCAUUCCACGGAUUCCGUGACGCAGCUAACGCAUAAGU
rnacentral:rRNA from 1 species